CGGAAAGCGUAAAGAACUUUUAGGAAAUGAAAUAUAGGUACGAUGUACAUAAACGAAAAAAUCCUAGCCCCAAUUCUAACGCAAUCACACAUUCACAUUUCACACCAAUAUCCUCCCCCAAAACCUCUGGUAGUCCCGUGGUUCUCACAAGAUCAAUUCUCAAGAUCAGUCAUCCUCUCUAAAGAUCAUCUCGAACAAGGGAUACUCUCGAGCAAUUCAUCAUCGCGUGUCUACUGCUGGUUUUCCAAUCUUUCCAACACAGCAAAAAAAAGUUUCAAGAGUCUUCAAGUGACUGAUAUAUGCCACGCAAGUGAUUUACCGUGUUUCAAGAGUCUACACCUAAUAAUACUUGGAACAAUUUUUCUCAUGUUUAUGAGUUAUCGGACUUGGCAAGCCAACAACAAAGGAUCUCGAAAGUCUCUAAGAUGGAAAGAAAUUAUAGUAAAAUUUAAUUAGUUUGCUUAUUAUUUUUAUCGUAAUUUAUUCAUAUAUAUGUUAUUCUUUAAUUUAAUGUGUAUUAUAUUUGUAUCUUAAUUAGUGUUCUUCGAACCGGAAAUGCUUGAAUGUGGCUAUUACGUCAUGAAGUACAUGUAUCAAAUAGUUUUACUUAGAUUACAAAGUAUUAGUAAUGUGGAAGAGGUACGUGUACAUGUAUUUUUGUUAUUAUUUUAUCUCAGUUGUUACUAUAUAUGCGCUAGUUUUUAUUUAAACUUUACUAAUAUAAUACAUUAUUUUGUUGAAGGGCAGAUAUUUUCUCCAAACCCGUACACUCAAGAGGAGAUCGAUGAUGUUCGAGAAAAAUGGAGUAGAUAUUUUAUUAAUAGUUGUUUGUAGUCAUUUUCUAGUUUUCGGAGAUAGAAAUUAAACUAUAACAAAUUGUAGGGUAUUUUUUGGAAUACAAUUAUUUACAAUUGUUGAACCAACUUUCUUGUUUGAAUUAAUACAAAAACAUUUUCGCAAUUAUACAA